rnacentral:rRNA from 1 species
UACGUAGGGUGCAAGCGUUAAUCGGAAUUACUGGGCGUAAAGCGUGCGCAGGCGGUUUUGUAAGUCAGAUGUGAAAUCCCCGGGCUUAACCUGGGAACUGCGUUUGAAACUACAAGGCUAGAGUGUGGCAGAGGGGGGUGGAAUUCCACGUGUAGCAGUGAAAUGCGUAGAGAUGCGGAGGAACACCGAUGGCGAAGGCAAUCCCCUGGGCCUGCACUGACGCUCAUGCACGAAAGCGUGGGGAGCAAACAGG